rnacentral:rRNA from 1 species
CCUACGGGGGGCAGCAGUGGGGAAUAUUGCGCAAUGGGCGAAAGCCUGACGCAGCGACGCCGCGUGAGGGAUGACGGUCUUCGGAUCGUAAACCUCUGUUAGCAGGGAAGAACGGUCACUGUGCUAAUCAGCAGUGAAUUGACGGUACCUGCAAAGGUAGCACCGGCUAACUCCGUGACCGCAGCCGCGGUAAUACGGAGGGUGCGUGCGUUAAUCGGAAUUACUGGGCGUAAAGCGCUCGUUGGCGGUAUGUCAAGUCAAGGGUGAAAUCCCCGGGCUCAACGUUGGAACUGCCUUUGAAACUGGCAGACUGGAGUGUGUGAGAGGAGAGUGGAAUUCCAGGUGUAGGAGUGAAAUCCGUAGAUAUCUGGAGGAACAUCGGUGGCGAAGGCGACUAUCUGGCACAUAACUGACGCUGAUGAGCGAAAGCGUGGGUAGCAAACAGGAUUAGAUACCCCAGUAGUC